AUGGCCGAAUCACUGCUUCUCCCUUUGGUGCGCGGCGUGGCCGGCAAGGCCGCAGACGCGCUCAUCCAGACCGUGACCCGGAUGAGUGGCCUCGACGACGACCGCGAAACGCUGGAGCGCCAUCUGCUAGCCGUCAAGUGCAAGUUGGCCGACGCCGAGGAAAGGAGCCAGAGCAAUGCCUACCUCAGGAGCUGGAUGGAGAAGCUCAAGGCCGUCGCCUACGAGGCCGACGACGUCCUCGACGACUUUCAGUAUGAGGCGCUGCGCCGCGAAGCCAAGAUCGGCAAGUCCACUUCCGGCAAGGUACUCGGCUACAUCACGCAUUGCAGUCCGCUGCUCUUCCGUUUUGCCAUGAGCAAGAAGCUCAAGGGAGUUCUCAAUAAGAUCAAGGAGCUGGUUGAAGAGAUGAACAUGUUUGGCCUUGAAAAUUCUGUGAAUCGGGAGGAGCGACAACAUCCUUGGCGGCAGACACACUCCAAACUGGACGAGUCUGCCGACAUCUUUGGAAGAGAUGAUGACAAGAAGAGGGUGGUAGAGUUGCUGCUAGACCAGCAAGAUAAGCGGAAGGUGCAGGUGCUGCCCAUCUUUGGUAUGGGAGGUCUUGGCAAGACGGCACUUGCUAAGAUGGUGUACAAUGACCAAGAUGUCCAGCAACAUUUCCAGUUGAAAAUGUGGUACUGCGUAUCAGACAAUUUCAAUGUUACUGCUAUUGUGAAAUCCAUCAUUGAAUUGGCAACAAAUGGAAGAUGCGACCUGCCCGACAACAUCGAGCUAUUGCAGAAGAAACUUGAUGAAGUCAUUUGCCGGAAGACAUUUUUACUUGUUCUCGAUGAUGUAUGGAAUGAAGAGAAGACGAUAUGGGAGGAAAAUUUGAAGCCACUGUUAUGCUCCAUUGGUGGACCAGGAAGUGCUAUAGUUGUGACAUGUCGAAGCGAGCAAGUGGCAACUAUAAUGUGCACCAUUCAGCCCCUUAAGUUGGCAUGUCUAGGUGAAGAAGAUUCAUGGGAAUUAUUCUCGAAGAAAGCAUUUAGCAACGAUGUAGUGGAGCAAGCAGAGUUAGUCACCAUCGGAAGACGUAUUGUUAAUAAAUGUGGGGGGUUGCCUCUUGCUCUGAAGACAAUGGGUGGAUUGCUACGUUCAAAGCAACAUGUAGAGGAAUGGAAGGCCAUCGAAGGAAGUAAUAUUGGGGAUAAUAUUGUGGGCAAACAUGAGGUCAUGCCCAUACUAAAGUUAAGCUACAAACACUUGUCAUCUGAAAUGAAGCAAUGUUUUGCAUUCUGUGCAGUUUUUCCCAAGGAUUAUGAGAUGCAGAAGGAUAUGCUGAUCCAACUAUGGAUGGCAAAUGGCUUUAUUAAAGAAGAGGGAACAAUGGAUUUAACACAGAAAGGAGAAUGCAUUUUCCAUGAAUUGGUUUGGAGGUCCUUCUUCCAAGAUAUGGAAGUUGAAGACAGUUUUUUCUCAGGACAUGAGACAGUAGUAUGUAAAAUGCAUGACUUAAUGCAUGACUUAGCCAGAAAUGUUAGCAAUGAUUGUGCCACCAUAGAAGAAUUGAUUGAACAAAGAGCAUUGUUAAAAAAUGUCCGCCACCUGCAAAUGUCAACGGAUAAUUUGAAAAAGACCUAUGGUUUGUUCGAUGGCAACAGUACAUCUCCCCGCACUUUGUUAGCUCCUUCAUUGAUGUGCCGGGAGUUUAAACGGCUGUCACAUGCAUCAUUACGAGCACUGCAUUGGCAGGGGUUGUUUCACACCAGUUUCAGUUUUGUAAAUGCAAAACAUUUACGGUAUCUUGACCUCUCCAGUUGUGACGUCAACGCUAGAUUGCUAGAUUCAGUAUGCCAAUUGUAUAACCUGCAAACGUUGAGGCUGAAUAAUUGCACUAAGCUACAGAAGUUACCAGAAGACAUGAUGAUAAGCCUGAGAAAGCUCAUACAUCUUUAUCUUUCUGGAUGUGAUAAGUUGGGACGGAUGCCUCGAAACAUUGGCCAGCUGAACAACCUUCGCACACUAACAAGAUUUGUUGUGGAUAGUAGAGAGGGUUGUGGUAUUGAGGAACUCAAAGACUUGCGACACCUUUGCAAUAAGAUGGAAUUGUACAACUUGAGGAAAAUAAAGAGUAUAAAGCACGAAAAGAAGCCAAUCUCCAGCAGAAGAAAAAUCUAA
rnacentral:rRNA from 1 species